UGGCACAUGCUUUGCACAUGCUUUUUACCCAAUUAGGGCUUUUUACCUCUAGAUUAACGAUGCAGCUCCAAUCCGCGUAGAAGAUCAUCGAAAGGCCGCCCAUGGCUCCUGACAGCGUGACUCCCCUCAACAGAAGCAGUGCCAUCGUGGUCAGAGGCACGGUGCUGAAGGUACCGCUGUUGCCUUCGCCCGAGAACUGACCAAGAGUGCUCUCCAGGUGCAUAAUGGGCAUCGCAAUGGUCAGCAGAAAUACCAGAUUUGGUGCAGUUAAGCGCCGAACAUCCACCCAUUUCUGCGUUGAAAACACGCUGACGCUAUGCGACUCCAGUAGAACUUCGAACCGGAAGCGUACAUCCACGUGACAGUGCAACUUCCCUUACGUCAUUUUGACAGGAAGUUGCAAAC